CCUACGGGAGGCAGCAGUGAGGAAUAUUGGUCAAUGGACGAGAGUCUGAACCAGCAAAGUAGCGUGAAGGAUGACUGCCCUAUGGGUUGUAAACUUCUUUUAUAUGGGAAUAAAAUGUUCCACGUGUGGGAUUUUGUAUGUACCAUAUGAAUAAGGAUCGGCUAACUCCGUGCCAGCAGCCGCGGUAAUACGGAGGGUCCGAGCGUUAUCCGGAUUUAUUGGGUUUAAAGGGAGCGUAGGUGGAUUGUUAAGUCAGUUGUGAAAGUUUGCGGCUCAACCGUAAAAUUGCAGUUGAAACUGGCAGUCUUGAGUACAGUAGAGGUAGGCGGAAUUCGUGGUGUAGCGGUGGAAUGCUUAGAUAUCACGAAGAACUCCGAUUGCGAAGGCAGCUCACUGGACUGCAACUGACACUGAGGCUCGAAAGUGUGGGUAUCAAACAGGAUUAGAUACCCGAGUAGUC
rnacentral:rRNA from 1 species